rnacentral:rRNA from 1 species
UACGAAGGGGGCUAGCGUUGCUCGGAAUCACUGGGCGUAAAGCGCACGUAGGCGGCUUCUUAAGUCAGGGGUGAAAUCCUGGAGCUCAACUCCAGAACUGCCUUUGAUACUGAGGAGCUCGAGUCCGGGAGAGGUGAGUGGAACUCCGAGUGUAGAGGUGAAAUUCGUAGAUAUUCGCAAGAACACCAGUGGCGAAGGCGGCUCACUGGCCCGAUACUGACGCUGAGGCACGAAAGCGUGGGGAGCAAACAGG